rnacentral:rRNA from 1 species
AGAGUUUGAUCCUGGCUCAGGACGAACGCUGGCGGCGUGCCUAAUGCAUGCAAGUCGAGCGGGCUACGAUCUUCGGAUUGUAGCUUAGCGGCGAACGGGUGAGUAACACGUAGGUGAUCUACCCUUCAGAGGAGGACAACCUCAGGAAACUGAGGCUAAACCUUCAUACGUUCACUGGUAGGGAUACUGGUGAAGAAAGAGUUACCCCUAGAGGGUAGCUGCUGAAGGAUGAGCCUGCGGCCCAUCAGGUAGUUGGUGAGGUAACGGCUCACCAAGCCGAAGACGGGUAACCGGUCUGAGAGGAUGUCCGGUCACACUGGGACUGAGACAUGGCCCAGACUCCUACGGGAGGCAGCAGCAGGGAAUCUUGGGCAAUGGGCGAAAGCCUGACCCAGCGACGCCGCGUGGAGGAAGAAGUCCUUCGGGGCGUAAACUCCUGGACUGGGGGACGAGGAAGGACGGUACCCCAGUAGAAAGGGACGGCUAACUACGUGCCAGCAGCCGCGGUAAAACGUAGGUCCCGAGCGUUGUUCGGAUUCACUGGGUGUAAAGGGCGCGUAGGUGGUUGUCUGUGUCUCAUGUGAAAACUCAGGGCUCAACUCUGAGAUUGCGUGGGAAACUAGGCAGCUAGAGGACGGUAGAGGGGAGUGGAAUUCCCGGUGUAGCGGUAAAAUGCGUAGAUAUCGGGAGGAACACCGGUGGCGAAGGCGGCUCUCUGGGCCGAUCCUGACGCUGAGGCGCGAAAGCUAGGGGAGCGAACCGGAUUAGAUACCCGGGUAGUCCUAGCCGUAAACGAUGGGUGCUAGGUGUUGGGGGGGUAAAGACCCUUCAGUGCCGAAGCCAACGCGAUAAGCAUCCCACCUGGGGAGUACGGCCGCAAGGUUGAAACUCAAAUGAAUUGACGG